UACGAAGGGGGCUAGCGUUGCUCGGAAUCACUGGGCGUAAAGCGCGCGUAGGCGGAUUUGCAAGUCGGGGGUGAAAGCCCGAGGCUCAACCUCGGAACUGCCCUCGAUACUGCAAAUCUCGAGUCCGAGAGAGGUGAGUGGAAUUCCUAGUGUAGAGGUGAAAUUCGUAGAUAUUAGGAAGAACACCAGUGGCGAAGGCGGCUCACUGGCUCGGUACUGACGCUGAGGCGCGAAAGCGUGGGGAGCAAACAGG
rnacentral:rRNA from 1 species